AUGAAUAAUACAUUGAAUGCUUAUGCCUACCGUGGUCUGUUUGGCUGUGUGCGGAAGUUAAGGAAGCUGUUGUAAAAUGUUAACAGUGCUGCAUAUUUUAAUUUCUAAUGGUCUAGGUUCUAUACAUUAUAACUUAUUAAUACAAUAACACUUUCCUACUACAGAAAUUAAAAUUCAAUGCUUUAAAGCAAUACUGACAGCCAAUUAAAACAUUUUUUUUUUA